rnacentral:rRNA from 1 species
GUCGAACGGUAAGGCCCCUUCGGGGGUACACGAGUGGCGCACGGGUGAGUAACGCGUGGGUAAUCUGCCCUCGGGUCUGGGACAACUCCGGGAAACUGGAGCUAAUACCGGAUAAGACCACGGGACCCUCGGGUCCCGCGGAAAAAGGUGGCGCAAGCUACCGCCUGUUGAUGAGCCCGCGUCCCAUUAGCUUGUUGGUGGGGUAAUGGCCUACCAAGGCUUCGAUGGGUAGCUGGUCUGAGAGGAUGAUCAGCCACACUGGAACUGAGACACGGUCCAGACUCCUACGGGAGGCAGCAGUCGGGAAUUUUGGGCAAUGGGGGAAACCCUGACCCAGCAACGCCGCGUGAGGGAUGAAGGCCUUCGGGUCGUAAACCUCUGUCGGGAGGGAAGAACGCCGCAGAGAGUCACUACUCUGCGGUCUGACGGUACCUCCAAAGGAAGCACCGGCUAACUCCGUGCCAGCAGCCGCGGUAAUACGGAGGGUGCGAGCGUUGUUCGGAAUCAUUGGGCGUAAAGCGCGUGUAGGCGGCUUGGUAAGUCGGGUGUGAAAGCCCGGGGCUCAACCCCGGAAUUGCACUCGAAACUGCCUCGCUAGAGUCCCGGAGGGGAGAGCGGAAUUCCCGGUGUAGAGGUGAAAUUCGUAGAUAUCGGGGAGGAACACCAGCGGCGAANGCGGCUCUCUGGGACGGUGACUGACGCUG